UAAACUCUGUUUAUUAUCACUGACAUUAUUUUCAAUGUAAUAUUCUGCUAGUGAUUUUCAGACAAAAUUCAUGGGACUCAUUCUGGGACAUCUCGGACACAUGAGGGUUAAAGCUACAGAAAGAAAAACAGCUAUCACUGGAGGUCAAAGAUGAGAAAGAACAAUAGCGCACCCCAUCACUCCACCUGCAUUCACACACUCCAGACGUGGAUGCUGUCCUCCCUGUUCCAUUCUGUCACCAAAACAGUGAGGAGUUGAAAAGAAACAAGAGGUGGCCACAAUGACUGGCCUUCAUCACCACAGAAAGCCUAUUGUUAACUGAGGGGGACAUCUCUUCCAUCAUGACAAUGGGUCAGUUGCACAACUGACACAAGAACUCUGACAGGACAGUCUUCACCGUCUCGUCUGGGCUUGACGAAACCUGGAUGUUGUAAAUGGAUUCCACUCUGCCUAAUGCUGUGGUCACUUCUCUAAUCUGGGAGUCCAGCAGACUCUUCACAGGUAGUUAACUCUGUGUCCCAAGACCUGAGCAAACCCACACCCAAGAAGGCUAGGCUAACAGCCAGCUUCUCCCGCAAGCUGGAAGCUCAGCAACCCCUUCAAGGAAGCCCCUGAGGGCUCCCGAGGGCUCCCUUGAGACCCAUCCUGGACCUUCGAAGGCUAAACACUCACAUCGUAAACAAAGUAGUGGACAUGGUGUUGGAACCUCUCAGGAAUUCAGGAGUAAAAAUUCGGACUAUCUUGGACGACUGGCUCUGGCAACGUCCAGGGAGUAGGUGAUC